UACGGAGGGGGCUAGCGUUGUUCGGAAUUACUGGGCGUACAGCGCGCGUAGGCGGACCUGCAAGUCGGGGGUGAAAGCCCGAGGCUCAACCUCGGAACUGCCUUCGAUACUGCGGGUCUCGAGUCCGGGAGAGGUGAGUGGAAUUCCUAGUGUAGAGGUGAAAUUCGUAGAUAUUAGGAAGAACACCAGUGGCGAAGGCGGCUCACUGGCCCGGUACUGACGCUGAGGCGCGAAAGCGUGGGGAGCAAACAGG
rnacentral:rRNA from 1 species